GGGUUGUGAGGUUAAGCGACUAAGCGUACACGGUGGAUGCCCUGGCAGUCAGAGGCGAUGAAGGACGUGCUAAUCUGCGAAAAGCGUCGGUAAGGUGAUAUGAACCGUUAUAACCGGCGAUGUCCGAAUGGGGAAACCCAGUGUGAUUCGUCACACUAUCGUUAACUGAAUACAUAGGUUAACGAGGCGAACCGGGGGAACUGAAACAUCUAAGUACCCCGAGGAAAAGAAAUCAACCGAGAUUCCCCCAGUAGCGGCGAGCGAACGGGGAGCAGCCCAGAGUCUGAAUCAGCUUGUGUGUUAGUGGAACGGUCUGGAAAGUCCGACGGUACAGGGUGAUAGUCCCGUACACCAAAAUGCACAGGUUGUGAACUCGAAGAGUAGGGCGGGACACGUGGUAUCCUGUCUGAAUAUGGGGGGACCAUCCUCCAAGGCUAAAUACUCCUGACUGACCGAUAGUGAACCAGUACCGUGAGGGAAAGGCGAAAAGAACCCCGGCGAGGGGAGUGAAAAAGAACCUGAAACCGUGUACGUACAAGCAGUGGGAGCACCUUCGGGUGUGACUGCGUACCUUUGUAUAAUGGGUCAGCGACUUAUAUUCUGUAGCAAGGUUAACCGUAUAGGGGAGCCGCAGGGAAACCGAGUCUUAACUGGGCGUUAAGUUGCAGGGUAUAGACCCGAAACCCGGUGAUUCAGCCAUGGGCAGGUUGAAGGUUGGGUAACACUAACAUGGAGGACCGAACCGACUAAUGUUGAAAAAUUAGGCGGAUGACUUGUGGCUGGGGUGAAAGGCCAAUCAAACCGGGAGAUAGCUGGUUCUCCCCGAAAGCUAUUUAGGUAGCGCCUCGUGAACUCAUCUUCGGGGGUAGAGCACUGUUUCGGCUAGGGGGUCAUCCCGACUUACCAACCCGAUGCAAACUACGAAUACCGAAGAAUGUUAUCACGGGAGACACACGGCGGGUGCUAACGUCCGUCGUGAAGAGGGAAACAACCCAGACCGCCAGCUAAGGUCCCAAAGUCAUGGUUAAGUGGGAAACGAUGUGGGAAGGCACAGACAGCCAGGAUGUUGGCUUAGAAGCAGCCAUCAUUUAAAGAAAGCGUAAUAGCUCACUGGUCGAGUCGGCCUGCGCGGAAGAUGUAACGGGGCUAAACCAUGCACCGAAGCUGCGGCAGCGACACUAUGUGUUGUUGGGUAGGGGAGCGUUCUGUAAGCCUGCGAAGGUGACCUGUGAGGGUUGCUGGAGGUAUCAGAAGUGCGAAUGCUGACAUAAGUAACGAUAAAGCGGGUGAAAAGCCCGCUCGCCGGAAGACCAAGGGUUCCUGUCCAACGUUAAUCGGGGCAGGGUGAGUCGACCCCUAAGGCGAGGCCGAAAGGCGUAGUCGAUGGGAAACAGGUUAAUAUUCCUGUACUUGGUGUUACUGCGAAGGGGGGACGGAGAAGGCUAUGUUAGCCGGGCGACGGUUGUCCCGGUUUAAGCAUGUAGGCUGGUUGUCCAGGCAAAUCCGGAUAAUCAAGGCUGAGGUGUGAUGACGAGGCACUACGGUGCUGAAGUAACAAAUGCCCUGCUUCCAGGAAAAGCCUCUAAGCAUCAGGUAACAUUAAAUCGUACCCCAAACCGACACAGGUGGUCAGGUAGAGAAUACCAAGGCGCUUGAGAGAACUCGGGUGAAGGAACUAGGCAAAAUGGUGCCGUAACUUCGGGAGAAGGCACGCUGGUGUGUAGGUGAAGCCCCUGCGGGUGGAGCUGAGACCAGUCGAAGAUACCAGCUGGCUGCAACUGUUUAUUAAAAACACAGCACUGUGCAAACACGAAAGUGGACGUAUACGGUGUGACGCCUGCCCGGUGCCGGAAGGUUAAUUGAUGGGGUUAUCCGUAAGGAGAAGCUCUUGAUCGAAGCCCCGGUAAACGGCGGCCGUAACUAUAACGGUCCUAAGGUAGCGAAAUUCCUUGUCGGGUAAGUUCCGACCUGCACGAAUGGCGUAAUGAUGGCCAGGCUGUCUCCACCCGAGACUCAGUGAAAUUGAACUCGCUGUGAAGAUGCAGUGUACCCGCGGCAAGACGGAAAGACCCCGUGAACCUUUACUAUAGCUUGACACUGAACAUUGAGCCUUGAUGUGUAGGAUAGGUGGGAGGCUUUGAAGCGUGGACGCCAGUCUGCGUGGAGCCAACCUUGAAAUACCACCCUUUAAUGUUUGAUGUUCUAACGUUGGCCCCUUACCGGGGUUGCGGACAGUGUCUGGUGGGUAGUUUGACUGGGGCGGUCUCCUCCCAAAGCGUAACGGAGGAGCACGAAGGUUAGCUAAUCCUGGUCGGACAUCAGGAGGUUAGUGCAAUGGCAUAAGCUAGCUUGACUGCGAGCGUGACGGCGCGAGCAGGUGCGAAAGCAGGUCAUAGUGAUCCGGUGGUUCUGAAUGGAAGGGCCAUCGCUCAACGGAUAAAAGGUACUCCGGGGAUAACAGGCUGAUACCGCCCAAGAGUUCAUAUCGACGGCGGUGUUUGGCACCUCGAUGUCGGCUCAUCACAUCCUGGGGCUGAAGUAGGUCCCAAGGGUAUGGCUGUUCGCCAUUUAAAGUGGUACGCGAGCUGGGUUUAGAACGUCGUGAGACAGUUCGGUCCCUAUCUGCCGUGGGCGCUGGAGAAUUGAGGGGGGCUGCUCCUAGUACGAGAGGACCGGAGUGGACGCAUCACUGGUGUUCGGGUUGUCAUGCCAAUGGCACUGCCCGGUAGCUAAAUGCGGAAGAGAUAAGUGCUGAAAGCAUCUAAGCACGAAACUUGCCCCGAGAUGAGUUCUCCCUGAGACUUUAAGUCUCCUGAAGGAACGUUAAAGACGAUGACGUUGAUAGGCCGGGUGUGUAAGCGCAGCGAUGCGUUGAGCUAACCGGUACUAAUGAACCGUGAGGCUUAACCUUACAACGCCGAAG
rnacentral:rRNA from 1 species